rnacentral:snRNA from 1 species
GUCCCGUUGGGGACAUCUGAUAAAAUUGGAAGAGAAGAUUAGCAAGGCCCCUACGCAAGGAUGACACGCAUAAUCGAGAAAUGGUCCAAAUAAGU